UACGAAGGGGGCUAGCGUUGCUCGGAAUCACUGGGCGUAAAGGGUGCGUAGGCGGGUCUUUAAGUCAGGGGGGAAAUCCUGGAGCUCAACUCCAGAACUGCCUUUGAUACUGAAGAUCUUGAGUUCGGGAGAGGUGAGUGGAACUGCGAGUGUAGAGGUGAAAUCCGUAGAUAUUCGCAAGAACACCAGUGGCGAAGGCGGCUCACUGGCCCGAUACUGACGCUGAGGCACGAAAGCGUGGGGAGCAAACAGG
rnacentral:rRNA from 1 species